GAAGACUUUGGCACUGGAUUUCCAAGUGUUCAGGGAGCAGAGGUGGGCCUAGGCCUGUUGGAAACAGGGCCCAUCAUCGUGGCACGGCCAGUGGGCAGGUGUGCUCCCUCUGAGAUCAUCUCAUGCCUCGAUGUCCCCGUCUGUGAAAUGGUGAUGGCGAUGCCCACCUCCUGGGAGUGGGUGAGGACGGCCCAGCUCACAGAACCUGGGAAAUGGCAGCUGUGGUGGUGGCCUGGGGGCUCCUGAAUGGUACCCCUGAUCUCACAAGGCCCUGAAGCAGGCCUGGGGCAUGGUCUUCUGCCAGCCAUCCCUGAUACCUGCUUCUUUUCCUGUGUCUCUCAGGGCCAGGCAGAGAAGAGUGCAUUCACUGUGCGAAAAACUUCCACUUCCACGACUGGAAGUGUGUGCCAGCCUGUGGUGAGGGCUUCUACCCAGAAGAGAUGCCGGGCUUGCCCCACAAAGUGUGUCGAAGGUGUGACGAGAACUGCUUGAGCUGUGCAGGCUCCA
rnacentral:lncRNA from 1 species